GCGCCCGUAGCUCAGCUGGAUAGAGCGCUGCCCUCCGGAGGCAGAGGCCAGGGGUUCGAAUCCCUUCGGGCGCG
rfam:Thioalkalivibrio nitratireducens DSM 14787, complete genome.